rnacentral:misc_RNA from 1 species
GUCCACUCUGGAGCAAAUAUUUAGUAACUACACCGGAGCCAGGAGCAAGACUUGUUUUAACCCAUGGUUUUACCUCCAAUCCCAGUUCACAAGCUUUCUUUGCAACCAAAGCAGCUCCAAGCAUUACACUAGGGUUUGAGGUAUUAGUGCAACUAGUAAUAGCAGCUAUAACCACAUCACCAUGCCUAAGUUGGGCGGGAGUCCCAUGAAAAUUGAACUCUGCAACCUUGCUUUGGGAUUGCUUUGGUAUAGCAAAUCCCUUAAAUCCAACCCUGUUGUCUAAGCAUGAAUGCCAAUCUGCUUUCAUUUCCUUCAAAGGAACCCGAUCAUGAGGCCUUUUUGGCCCUGAUACGCAAGGUUCCACAUCCUCAAGAUUCAAUUCUAGAUAUGAGGAGUAUACCCUAUCAAUCUGGGGCUCACCAUAGUCAACAAACAUCUUGUUAGCUCUUAAAUAGGAUUCUAUCAUAGAGACAGUUUCAUCACUUCUGCCGGUCAAUUUGAGAUAAUGCAGAGUAACAUGAUCCACAGGAAAAAAGCCCAUGGUUGCACCAUACUCAGGAGACAUGUUUGCAAUAGUAGCACGGUCUGCUAAUGAUAGUUCACCCAUGCCUUCGCCAUAGAACUCCACAAACUUGCCAACAACCCCAUGCUUCCUUAGCAUUUGUGUUACUGUCAAAACCAAAUCAGUGGCUGUAACACCAUCCCUUAGUUUUCCUGACAACUUAAACCCAACAACACCAGGCAGGACCAUGCUCAUGGGCUGGCCAAGCAUUGCAGCUUCUGCUUCUAUUCCACCAACUCCCCAACCAGCAACACCUAAUCCAUCUAUCAUAGUUGUGUGCGAAUCUGUUCCAACUACACUGUCAGGGUAAAGCAUACCCUUUGUGUUGAACACAACUCUUCCAAGGUAUUCCAAAUUGACCUGAUGGACUAUCCCAGAACCAGGGGGAACGACAAGCAUGUUAUGGAACGCAUUUGAACCCCAUUUGAGAAAGGCAAAUCUUUCUUUGUUCCUUUGAAAUUCGAGUUCCAUAUUAGCCUGCACCGCAUUUUCUGACCUUGCCACAUCAACCUGAACUGAGUGAUCAAUAACAAGAUCAACCGGAACCAGUGGGUUAAUCUUAUUAGAAUCACCUCCAAGGCUGUUCAUGGCAUCUCGCAUGCAGGCAAGAUCAACAACAGCAGGAACUCCAGUAAAAUCCUGAAGAAGCACUCUGGCAGGCUUAAAUGGGAUUUCAACUUGUUUAGGAGAAGUAUUCUUCCAGUCAAUAAUCUUCUCAACAUCCUUACUCUUAACCUGAAACUCAUCGCAGUUUCGAAUAGCAGACUCUAAAAGGAUCCUAAUUGAAUAUGGCAGCUUAUCGAUUCUGGGAUCGUUGAGAGCAGGCAAACUAUAGAACUUGCCGAAUUCACCACCAUCAGGUUUCUCAAGAGUCUUCAAUAUGCUAUUGAAAGGGUUUUCAUUCACUGAAAAUAACCGCACAUAAAAUCAAAACCAAAACAAAAACCAGAUUUAGUUAGUACAUAGUAAUAAAACUACGAAAUGGAAUGUAAAACAGAGCUCAUGGCUAGAUGAUUAGUCCGUAACUACCCAUGGCUACGAUAUUGGAUUUAGCGUUGCUAUGAAAACGACGAGUCGAAUUCGAUUGGUUAGACUGAGAGAGAUCUAAAGGAAAGCGAGAGAGAGGAACAGAGGCAGAUGGGUAGGUGAGGCUAAAGACUUGACGAAAGUCGAAGCAGAGUAUGUAUAUAUAUAUAAAUUUUCUUCAAGAUGAUACAUUGAAC